rnacentral:rRNA from 1 species
UACGUAGGGGGCAAGCGUUGUCCGGAUUUAUUGGGCGUAAAGAGCGUGUAGGCGGCCUGGAAGGUCAGCUGUGAAAACUCCAGGCUCAACCUGGAGACGCCACCUGAUACUGCUGUGGCUAGAGUCCGGUAGGGGAGCAUGGAAUUCCUGGUGUAGCGGUGAAGUGCGCAGAUAUCAGGAGGAACACCAGUGGCGAAGGCGGUUCUCUGGGCAUGUCCUGACGCUGAGGAGCGAAAGUGUGGGGAGCGAACAGG